CAGCCGCCACGGGAAUACAGAGGUCUCAAGCGUUGUUCGGAUUCAUUGGGCGUAAAGGGUGCGUAGGCGGCGAGGUAAGUCAGAUGUGAAAUCCCGGAGCUUAACUCCGGAACUGCAUUUGAUACUGCCUUGCUUGAGGACUGGAGAGGAGAUCGGAAUUCACGGUGUAGCAGUGAAAUGCGUAGAUAUCGUGAGGAAGGCCAGUGGCGAAGGCGGAUCUCUGGACAGUUCCUGACGCUGAGGCACGAAGGCCAGGGGAGCAAACGGGAUUAGAUACCCCAGUAGUCCCUGUCUCUUAUAC
rnacentral:rRNA from 1 species